CCCUUAGAUGUUCUGGGCCGCACGCGCGCUACACUGAUUCAUGCAGCAAGUUUUGUCCUUGGCUGAUAGGCCUGGGUAAUCUUUGAACGUGAAUCGUGAUGGGGAUAGAUGAUUGCAAUUAUUCAUCUUCAACGAGGAAUUCCUAGUAAACGCAAGUCAUCAGCUUGCAUUGAUUACGUCCCUGCCCUUUGUACACACCGCCCGUCGCACCUACCGAUUGAAUGGUCCGGUGAAAUCUUCGGAUCUGAGAGAUGUCUGAUUAAUUUCGGACGCCUUUUGGAAAAGUUGCUUAAACCUUACCAUUUAGAGGAAGGUGAAGUCGUANCA
rnacentral:rRNA from 1 species